UACUAAAGCAUCCGCCCGAGAACUACGAGCACUAACGCUUAAAACUCUAAGGACUUGGCGGUGCCCCAAACCCACCUAGAGGAGCCUGUUCUGUAAUCGAUGAUCCACGAUACACCUGACCAUUCCUUGCCAAAACAGCCUACAUACCGCCGUCGCCAGCUCACCUACACUGAAAGCCCAACAGUGAGCGCAACAGCCCCUACCCGCUAAUAAGACAGGUCAAGGUAUAGCCUAUGGAAUGGGAGCAAUGGGCUACAUUUUCUAGAAUAGAACAUUAACGGCAAAGAGACAUGAAACUGUCUCUGGAAGGCGGAUUUAGCAGUAAAG
rnacentral:rRNA from 1 species